rnacentral:lncRNA from 1 species
UAAGGUUGGAUCGAUAGUAGGGGUGUGAAUGAAAUCUUUGUUCUUCAGUUGCUGAUAGACUUCCUUCUCUCUUCGGGUCUUCAGUCCUAGGUCUCCUAUCUUGAGAAGGACCUUAACUUGCUGACCUGAUGAAGAUGAUGGAGCUUGUGUGGGUGUCGGGUCGACGCUCAUCUCUGAUGGCUGUGAGGAGUGUUGGGAUGAACUCCUUGUUCCAAUGUUCUUGAGAGCCUUCCCUGCAUUCUUCACCUUCUUAAACAUCCUGCAAACAAAAAUUGGCAAAAACACAACUGGUGGAAAAUGUGAGAGAAAAUGUUAGUGGUCAGCUGUCCGGAAUGUCA